GCCGGGUGUGGUGGUGCACACCUGUAAUCCCAGCUACUUGGGAGGCUGAGGCAGGAGAAUCGCUUGAACUCAGGAGGUGGAGGUUGCAGUGAGCUGAGAUCAUGCCCACUGCACUCUAGCCUGGGUGACUGAGUGAAACUCUGUCUCAG
rnacentral:SRP_RNA from 2 species